UACGUAGGUGGCAAGCGUUGUCCGGAUUUAUUGGGCGUAAAGCGAGCGCAGGCGGUUCUUUAAGUCUGAUGUGAAAGCCCACGGCUCAACCGUGGAAGGUCAUUGGAAACUGGGGAACUUGAAUGCAGAAGAGGAGAGUGGAAUUCCAUGUGUAGCGGUGAAAUGCGUAGAUAUAUGGAGGAACACCAGUGGCGAAGGCGACUCUCUGGUCUGUUAUUGACGCUGAGGCUCGAAAGCGUGGGGAGCAAACAGGGAUUAGAUA
rnacentral:rRNA from 1 species